UGCUAUGUUUGAAGCUAUUCUGCUUCCUUGG
rnacentral:piRNA from 1 species